GAUGAACGCUGGCGGUAUGCUUAACACAUGCAAGUCGAACGGACUCUUCGGAGUUAGUGGCGGACGGGGUAGUAACGCGUGAGAAUCUUGCUUUGUGGUCGGGACAACCACUGGAAACGGUUGCUAAUACCGAAUGUGCCGAAAGGUCAAAGAGAAAUUGCCUGAAGAUGAGCUCGCGUCUGAGUAGCUAGUUGGUGAGGUAAAGGCUCACCAAGGCAGCGAUCAGUAGCAGGUCUGAGAGGAUGACCAGCCACACUGGGACUGAGACACGGCCCAGACUCCUACGCGAGGAAGCAGUGGGGACUUUUCCGGAAAGGGCGCAAGACUGACGGAGGAAUACGGCGUGGGGGAAGCAGGCUUUUGGGAUGAACAACUCUUUACUUAACUAAGAACAACAUGACGGUACCUAAGGAAUAAGCCUCGGCUAACUCCGUG
rnacentral:rRNA from 1 species